AAUGAUGUCAUGAACGGACCAAGUAGAAGCAUUUAUUCUGUUAAGAGAGCUAGUGGGUGGUGCGAACUAGUCAGAAGGAUACUUUGAAUCGAGCCGGAUCACACACCUUGCGAACAAGGUGCGGGUACGCCCGUUAUCGCGUCUUUAGAGUUGGCUGAUCUGAUCAGCAAUGAGGGUGGCAACGCGGAUCCAGGUGAUUCGUCCCUCUU
rnacentral:ncRNA from 1 species